AAUUUACAGUCUUCAUUAAAAACAGUGAAUUCAUUCUUCUGGUGGGUGACUUUCUCAACUGACUCCUCAAGUUUCAUAUGGUCUCUCAUCUUUGGUUGAAAAUUGUGAAUUUGAUAAGCUUUCCUUGGCCGAUUUCUCAAAUUUGACUUCCCAUACUUUCUUUGGCAAGCCUGGGUCUAAAAUCUUAUUUUGGUAUCAUAUUCUCAUUUCCCUUUAUGCUUAAAAUCUGUUGCGAAUGCAUUGGUCUCAUAAUUAUCGAAGGCUUGAUGAGUGUUGGUGCUGGACGAGCUUGGUUUGGAUCUUGUUGCGCAGAGCAGGAAUCGUAUCAGUGUGCUCAGCUUGCCUUGGUGGUUGCCUGUUUGUUAUGAUGAUCUCCAUGUUUGUGGCUUUAAUAGCAUAUAAUAAAAGACAUAAAACCAAUUAGCGGUUACGAAAUUCAAUUAUAGGUAACUUGGUCAAUCAAGGUCUUCAAUUUGACCCACAAAAAUUGUAAUGUAGUAUAGUACUGUAUAUUUUUUUCUUCACUUAACACAACAUUUCCUAAAA